GUCCGUGAAGCCUACCGAGUGUUUGAUAAGGAGAGAACAGGACACAUUGCCGCGUCGGAGUUAAGAAUGAUCUUUGCCGCGCUGCCGGAGCGUUUAUCAGACCACGAGAUAGAAGAAAUGCUCAGAGCAGCAGAUAAAGACGGGAAUGGACGAUUCGAUUACGAUGAAUUUAAAGUGAUGUUAGGUGGCGA